rnacentral:tRNA from 1 species
GGGAGUAUAGCUAAGUGAUAGAGCAUGUGCUUAGCACAUAUGAGGCCCUGGGUUCAAUCCCCAGCACCCACA